rnacentral:rRNA from 1 species
AAAUUAUAGUGUUCCUUUAUAUUAAAAAUUAAAAAUUAAAUAUAAUAUAAAUCUCAGUAUUUAGUUUUAAAUAUUAAUUCAAAUUAGAAUUGGUAAUCAUUUUAAUCCUGACUAAAAUUUGUGCCAGCAGUCGCGGUUAUACUUAGGGGGUAAAUAAAUACAAUUUGGUAUUAUAGUAAAUUAUUAGUUAAAUAAAACUUAUUAUUUUUUUUAAAGGGUGAAAUCGGAAUUUAAUUAUAAUAAUAAGUUUAAAUAAAAACAAAAACAAACUAUAAAUUUUAAUAUAU